rnacentral:rRNA from 1 species
GGAAAGGCGAAAAGAACCCCGGCGAGGGGAGUGAAAUAGAACCUGAAACCGUGUACGUACAAGCAGUGGGAGCCCCAUCACUCAAGUGCCUCGGCAAUUGAGUGAGGGUGUAAAAGCAUCACAAUAACAGCGCAGGAUUUGCCAACAAGAUUGGCUGAUUUUUUCAAGCCGCAGCGCAGUGGACAUCGAAGUCCAUGAGCAGCGGAAGUUAAAAAAUCGGGCAAGAUUGGCCGCAAAGCCAAGCGGGACAUUUGAGGAUGGGGUGACUGCGUACCUUUUGUAUAAUGGGUCAGCGACUUAUAUUCUGUAGCAAGGUUAACCGAAUAGGGGAGCCGUA